CAAGUGGUGGAGCAUGUGGUUUAAUUCGAAGAUACGCGAAGAACCUUACCUGGCCUUGACAUUGAAAAGAAUCCCGUAGAGAUACGGGAGUGCCCUUCGGGGAGCUUGAAAACAGGUGCUGCACGGCUGUCGUCAGCUCGUGUCGUGAGAUGUUGGGUUAAGUCCCGCAACGAGCGCAACCCUCGUCACUAGUUACUAACGGUUCGGCCGAGGACUCUAGUGAGACUGCCUUCGCAAGGAGGAGGAAGGUGAGGACGACGUCAAGUCAUCAUGGCCCUUACGGCCAGGGCGACACACGUGCUACAAUGGGUAGGACAAUGAGACGCGAUACCGCGAGGUGGAGCAAAUCUAUAAACCUACUCUCAGUUCGGAUUGCACUCUGCAACUCGAGUGCAUGAAGCUGGAAUCACUAGUAAUCGUAGAUCAGCCAUGCUACGGUGAAUACGUUCCCGGGUCUUGUACUCACCGCCCGUCACACCAUGGGAGUUGAUUUCACCCGAAGCGGGGAAGCUAAACUGG
rnacentral:rRNA from 1 species